rnacentral:rRNA from 1 species
AUGGCGGUCGUCCUGCUCUUCCUAAGCCUUAGCAUCCUCCUUGUGUCGGCAGCGGCAACGGGGCAGCUCUGCGGCAGCCGCGGCAACUACACGGCCAACAGCACCUACCAGUCCAACCUCGCCGCCGUCGCCGCCACCCUCCCCAACAAGGCGUCUUCCUCCUCGCAACUGUUUGCCACCGCGACCGCCGGCCAAGCCUCCGACGUGGUGUACGCGCUCGCGCUCUGCCGUGGCGACACGGUGAACGCCGCGGCCUGCAGGGACUGCGUCGCCACCUCGUUCCGGGAAGCGCAGCGGGCGUGCCCGUUCCAGCAGGGCGCCACCGUCUACUACGACGACGGCGAGCAGCAGCAGCAGCAGCAGACGUGCGUCCUCGGCUUCUCCAGCGACGACCUCCUCGUCCCCAGCAUGACCGAGAACGACACGCUGUUCCAGUCAUUCCAAAAUGACAGCUUCUUCGGCGACCCUGGCACCGUCACUCCGGAUGUCCACGACCUGCUCACGCGGACGGCCCAGGACGUGGCCGCCGCAGAGAGGCGGUACGCCACCGCGGUCAUGGACUCCGUUAGCACUGUUACCCGGACGCUCUACUCUCUGGCUCAGUGCACGCCGGAUCUGCCCACUGGGGAUUGCCUGGCGUGCCUCCAGCGGAUCAUCGCCAUGGUCAACACCACCACGGCGGUGCGCCUGGGUGGACAGAUCCUCGUGCUGCGCUGCAACAUCAGGUUCGACGUGAAUCUGUUCUACCAGGGCCAACCCAUGCGGCGGGUCACUCCAUCAUCCAUCGCUCCGGUGCCGACCACCACCACCAUUACUACAGGAAAGAGAAAAGGAAUCAAACCAUGGGUAAUUGCCAUAUCUGUAGCUGCUCCAGUAGCACUUAUCGCAUUCUGCUUCAUCGUUUGCUAUCCUCGGCUCGGAAGAAGGCACAGAAAAGGUCAGGUGAGAUUGCGAGAAAAGCGGCACACCCACGAGUCGCAAAGAGGAGAUGAACAUGUUUGGGAAAUGGAAGCAGAGUUCUCUGAGUUUUCGAUCUUCGAUUUUCAUCAAAUAUUAGAGGCCACAAGUAACUUUUCUGAAGAAAAUAAACUUGGCAAAGGUGGAUUUGGCCCUGUUUAUAAGGGCCACUUUCCCGAUGGAACUGAAAUUGCAGUAAAGAGACUUGAUUCACAUUCCGGACAAGGUUUGAUGGAGUUCAAAAAUGAAGUUGAGCUCAUAGCCAAACUUCAACACAUGAAUUUGGUUAGGCUCUUGGGAUGCUGCUCUCAAGCAGAGGAGAAAAUAUUGGUCUAUGAAUACUUGCCAAACAAAAGCUUGGACUUCUUCAUCUUUGAUAAUAAUAGAAAAGCUUUAAUUGAUUUGAACAAACGUCUUGAAAUAAUUGAAGGAAUAGCAGAAGGACUUCUUUACCUACAUAUGCACUCUCGGUUGUGUGUCAUACAUCGAGACCUUAAACCAAGCAACAUUCUCUUGGACAACGAAAUGAAUCCUAAAAUUUCAGACUUUGGACUGGCAAAAAUAUUUAGCUCUAAUGCUGAAGGAAUCAUUACGAGAAGAGUGGCUGGUACAUAUGGCUACAUGGCCCCCGAGUAUGCUUCACAGGGCAUCUUUUCCAUCAAAUCCGACGUAUUCAGCUUUGGUGUUUUAACUCUCGAGAUCCUUAGUGGCAAAAGGAAUUCUGGAAGCCAUCAAUGUGGAGAUUUCAUCUAUCUCCUUGGAUAUGCUUGGAAAUUAUGGAAAGAGGGAAGAUGGAUCGAACUUGUUGAAACCUCAUUGCUUCCCAAUUGUCAUUUGACAGUAACGAUGAGGUGUGUUAACAUUGCACUGUUGUGUGUACAAGAGAAUGCAGUGGAUCGUCCAACCAUGUUGGAUGUUGUUGCGAUGCUAAGCAGCAUGACGAUGAAUCUACAUGAGCCUAAGCAUCCAGCGUAUUUCAAUUUAAUGGUAGGCAACGAAGAGUCAUCUACAACUACUCUACCAUGCAGUGUUAAUGAUGUAACCAUAUCUGCCACAACUCCUAGGUAG